AGCAGGAACCGGGGGCGUCGGCGUAUCCGGCUGAGAGGAGACGAAACGGUCUCGACCCUUGGAACCUGAUCCGGUUCAUACCGGUGCAGGGAAGGUGCGGGGUUUCCCCG
rfam:Pyramidobacter piscolens W5455 contig00260, whole genome shotgun sequence.